rnacentral:rRNA from 1 species
ACGGGAGGCAGCAGUGGGGAAUAUUGCACAAUGGGGGAAACCCUGAUGCAGCGACGCCGUGUGAGCGAAGAAGUAUUUCGGUAUGUAAAGCUCUAUCAGCAGGGAAGAAAAUGACGGUACCUGACUAAGAAGCCCCGGCUAACUACGUGCCAGCAGCCGCGGUAGUACGUAGGGGGCAAGCGUUAUCCGGAUUUACUGGGUGUAAAGGGAGCGUAGACGGCAUAACAAGUCUGAAGUGAAAUGCCGGGGCUCAACCCCGGAACUGCUUUGGAAACUGUUAAGCUUGAGUGCCGGAGAGGUAAGCGGAAUUCCUAGUGUAGCGGUGAAAUGCGUAGAUAUUAGGAGGAACACCAGUGGCGAAGGCGGCUUACUGGACGGUAACUGACGUUGAGGCUCGAAAGCGUGGGGAGCAAACAGGAUUAGAUACCCUGGUA